rnacentral:rRNA from 1 species
AGGCCUCUUUUGGGGUACACGAGCGGCGAACGGGUGAGUAACACGUGGGUGACCUGCCCUUCACUCUGGGAUAAGCCUGGGAAACUGGGUCUAAUACUGGAUAUUCACGCAGUCUCGCAUGGGGUUGUGUGGAAAGUUUUUUCGGUGGGGGAUGGGCCCGCGGCCUAUCAGCUUGUUGGUGGGGUGAUGGCCUACCAAGGCGACGACGGGUAGCCGGCCUGAGAGGGCGACCGGCCACACUGGGACUGAGACACGGCCCAGACUCCUACGGGAGGCAGCAGUGGGGAAUAUUGCGCAAUGGGCGGAAGCCUGACGCAGCGACGCCGCGUGGGGGAUGACGGCCUUCGGGUUGUAAACCUCUUUCGACCGGGACGAAGCGGGAGUGACGGUACCGGUAGAAGAAGCACCGGCCAACUACGUGCCAGCAGCCGCGGUAAUACGUAGGGUGCGAGCGUUGUCCGGAAUUAUUGGGCGUAAAGAGCUCGUAGGCGGUGUGUCGCGUCGGUCGUGAAAACUUGGGGCUUAACUCUGAGCUUGCGGUCGAUACGGGCAUCACUGGAGUUCGGCAGGGGAGACUGGAAUUCCUGGUGUAGCGGUGAAAUGCGCAGAUAUCAGGAGGAACACCGGUGGCGAAGGCGGGUCUCUGGGCCGAUACUGACGCUG